UGCAUAUUGCGUACUGCAGAUUACAACGCAGUCAGAUUGAUUGUCCAGUUGUGCGCAGCAUUACUGACUCAGCCAACAAAAUUGCAUCACGUGGGGUAUCCCUCGUUGCCCAGUUGGUACCUUCA
rnacentral:lncRNA from 1 species